UCUCCGUUGGUGAACCAGCGGAGGGAUCAUUACCGAGUGCAAACUCAUAACCCUUUGUGAACCUAUAUAUGUUGCUUCGGCGGCUCGCUCUCGGGCGAGCCCGCCGGUAAUAUCAGUAUCUUUGUUUGAACCCGACGAUACUUUUGAGUGUUCUUAGCGAACAGUUAAAACUUUUAACAACGGAUCUCUUGGCUCUAGACUCACGGCAGAACGCAGCAGAUGGGAAAACAACACGAAGGAACUCCAGUAAUAAAUCAACCCAUCUGUUACCGUCUU
rnacentral:misc_RNA from 1 species